AACGAACGCCGGCGGCAUGCCUAACACAUGCAAGUCGAACGAAGCCUUUGGGCUUAGUGGCGCACGGGUGCGUAACGCGUGGGAAUCUGCCCUUGGGUUCGGAAUAACAGUUAGAAAUGACUGCUAAUACCGGAUGAUGUCUUCGGACCAAAGAUUUAUCGCCCAAGGAUGAGCCCGCGUAGGAUUAGGUAGUUGGUGGGGUAAUGGCCCACCAAGCCGACGAUCCUUAGCUGGUCCGAGAGGAUGAUCAGCCACACUGGGACUGAGACACGGCCCAGACUCCUACGGGAGGCAGCAGUGGGGAAUAUUGGACAAUGGGCGAAAGCCUGAUCCAGCAAUGCCGCGUGAGUGAUGAAGGCCUUAGGGUUGUAAAGCUCUUUUACCAGGGAUGAUAAUGACAGUACCUGGAGAAUAAGCUCCGGCUAACUCCGUGCCAGCAGCCGCCGUAAAAC
rnacentral:rRNA from 1 species